rnacentral:lncRNA from 1 species
CUUUUUUGAGAACUGGGUAGAUUUGGGUUCUUUGUUUUGUGUGUUACCCAUAGUCAAAGAUCUGAGCUUUUUGGGUUUGGUCUCUUUGUGUAAAAGGGGUGACUCAUGUUAAGGGAUUUCAGAAAUCUGGGAUUUGUGAUUUUGACCUUGUGAAUCUGAGUCCGUACAAAUAGGUAAGAGUUAGAAAGACUAUGUUCGAAUGCUUGUAUUACUUAGAAUGCUUAUGCUUAUGUAAUAAUAUCUACUAAGUUGGUUUAUGAUGUUAGUGUUGAAUAUUCUGUUUUCUUUUUUAGCCUAAUUGUGUUGUUGUAAGGCAUUAUGAUGCUUGCUCACAUUGCUUUUUAGUUAAAUGGUAUCCACCAAUUAAGAUUCCAGGGUCUGAUAUAUGCAUUAUGUUACCUAUUAAUUAACAAAAAAAUUGAAUGUUGAUGCGAUUUGUUUAAUGUUUUUUCUUAUCCAAAUUUUGUUUGUUUGUUUUGUUACAUAUAUUAUAGGCAUCAAGGCUUUUUCUAAGAAAUGGG